GUCAUUAUAGCAAAUUUGAAUUCCACUUAAAGUCCAAGUUUGAUGAUUACUCUUUUGGACCUCUAAUAGACUUUAGUUGAUUUAGUGAUUCAGUUUCAGCUUAAAUGUAUUUUUGCUCACUUAUGUGUUCAGUCCUUUCCCACAUCGUUGUCUCUGGACUGAGCAGAUAUUCAAAGCUGUUUUCUUGUGUUCAUGGUUGUUGAUGAUCAGCUCGCAUAUGAUCCAUUUCAUUUGACUCUACCACCUGCACACUGCCAGGCUAUUAGUGCAAGAUUACAAAAAAUGUGUUUUGUUUUUCAUCAAUCAGCCAUGAAUACAGAAAACCUCAGUGGUAUCUUCUCAGGCCUUUUACUAUCGGACACUUGCCAAUUAAUGUGGACAUUAUGCUUCGUUGAGUAAAUGAUGCCUUCAUUUGCUGGCUGUAUUUCUCCUUGAAAUAUUCAAACAGCACUGCAAAAAUAUCGAGUUUUUUAGACUCCAAAUUGAACCUCUUAUAAAAAAAAAAAAAAAAAAAAAUUACAGAUUGAUUUUAUGUGAAUUGCGUUUAUUUUUAUGUUAGAAGACUCAGGUUGAUGCAUUCAUAUUCAAUAAAUGGGCCUCUGUGAGGCCCGUUUGUCAGAUCAAAAGUACUUCUUAAAAAUAGCAAUCUUUGAGCAGGUAUUAAACAUACAUUCUAAGCACCAGUGUCUGUAUUAAAACUCUUUUUAUUGGUCUGUUGUAGCUUUCUAAUCUUAAAUUUCAUGUUUUCAUUCAUAUGAAGUGGAGAUAUCAUUAUUAUUAAAACAAGGAAAGGCUUGCAAACAUCAGUUUUUUGCAUUUAAUAAUGAGUUUCACUUAGUGAAUUGAUGAAAUAACUGAAGGUUUCAACAAUAUUUAAAUUUAUUGAAUAUGAUGGGAGAUGAAUGAUGGGAGUUCAUUUGCGCCCAGAGGGCAUAGAUGAGGGUAGCGGAGAUGAGUCUCUCAGAAAAGGAAGAUAUUUGAGCAUAUUUGUUAUUAAUUUGUGUCACAAAUAUUCCACUGUCAAGCCACAUUUUGCUCAUGUGAGUGAACAAAACUCAGAGAAAAGUCCAUGUUUUCUCUUUCUUUUCUUUUCUUCUUUUUUCUUAUAGAGAAAUAUAUGAAAAGGGUUUUUGCCAUGGGUAAAGUCUUGUUGUAGCUGUAGAUAUUCUGUCAUACAAAACAGUAUUUAGAUCCAAAAUGUAUGCAAAUAACUGCAAUUGCUGCCGACCCCACCCCCCAUGCUAACACUCUGGAGAUGUAUCUUCUACUCGAAAGUAUCAGAGCUCUCUGAGUGCUGCACAUGGAGACAGAAACUUUCUAAAUCAUGAAGCUGCACAUCAAUGAGAUGUUUUUACCUGCCUGUUUGUCCCCCACUUUGGGAUCCUUUUAUUCAGAAGGCCGCCUGAUAGCCCACCAUUAUUUAGAUGAAGUCACAUAAACACCUCGCAAAGCUACUUCAGAUCUGGACAGAUCCGAGACCACACCAUAAAGUUAAUUCUGUUUGUUUCAGCUGCUGAACAUAAAAGUCUUCGUCAUAAAAGGAAUUCGGAGAAGAGGCUCCUUUUAUGUAGUAGAAUGUCAGCCUUCCUUGCCCGACCACUUCUGAGCACGCUUGAUGUCAUAUUGUCCACCUGAUCAUUUCGCUACCUGCUCUCCUCGUCAAGGCUGCCCUCUCGCUGCUCCACCACUCGAGAUGCUUGGCUCCUCUGAAACCAUCAUGUCGUUGUGUGCUAGAACCCAACAGGCUUCUUCUCUCCUUUCAACUGUGAGCGCAGGCAAGGAUUCCUCUGCUCAUAUGAUGAUUUCAUAUGAGCGUAGCAGUGUUUAUUCUUGUUUUUGUCAGUGUUGCUUGCAUUUUAAAAAGGGCAAUGCAGCUGCAAAUGGAAAUGAAUUUAACACGUGCAGCUUUUUAAAAUUGGCUACUGUGUUGCACAGCUGCAACCAUUACUACCUAUCAUGUUUAUGAGUGCCUCUGUGGAUACUAAAUACAACAACAAAAUAAUAAAUAUCAUGUAACUUUCUACAUCCAUUGCUGCCAUGAUUUUUGUUGCGGCCAGUGGCCUUUGUAUGUUUUCUUUUUCUCUUCCUUAUCUGUAUAUCUGCAGCUUUCCAACCAAAUUGACUCCACUGGGAAAUGGAUGCAGCCCUCAUCCUCCUGUGCCACUCCUGAGGUUUACUGCAGAGCUGAUUGGCUCACCAAUUAUCCACUCCACCAAUCCCUGAUGAGGGCUCCCUUUUUCAACCCAAGACUACCUGGGAGAAGUUGUGGUUGAUUCUUUGUUGAGAUAGCUGGACACUUUGUUGGGUGUUUGACUGCUCUAAAUAGCUUUGUCUUUCUGUGAGCUUUUGUAAACUUUGAUAGUUUUUGUCCCUGUAUGGGUCUACUAGAAAUUUGUAGUUUGUUUUUGGUUUAACCUUGUUUAAAAGGUGCAGUUGUGCUUUGUUAAGAUCUUUGGUUUAUAACUCUGAUUGUUUUGAGGAUUUUGUUAUAUUUAGUACUUUUGGUUGUCAGCGCCUACCUUUUGUUUAUUGUAGG